rnacentral:rRNA from 1 species
AAUACGGAGGGGGCAAGCGUUGUCCGGAUUUAUUGGGCGUAAAGAGCGUGUAGGCGGCCAUGCAGGUCCGUUGUGAAAACUCGAGGCUCAACCUCGAGCUGUCGAUGGAAACCGUAUGGCUAGAGUCCGGAAGAGGAGAGUGGAAUUCCUGGUGUAGCGGUGAAAUGCGCAGAUAUCAGGAAGAACACCCGUGGCGAAGGCGGCUCUCUGGGACGGUACUGACGCUGAGACGCGAAAGCGUGGGGAGCGAACAGGA